rnacentral:rRNA from 1 species
GACGAACGCUGGCGGCGUGCUUAACACAUGCAAGUCGAACGGAAAGGCCCUGCUUUUGUGGGGUGCUCGAGUGGCGAACGGGUGAGUAACACGUGAGUAACCUGCCCUUGACUUUGGGAUAACUUCAGGAAACUGGGGCUAAUACCGGAUAGGAGCUCCUGCUGCAUGGUGGGGGUUGGAAAGUUUCGGCGGUUGGGGAUGGACUCGCGGCUUAUCAGCUUGUUGGUGGGGUAGUGGCUUACCAAGGCUUUGACGGGUAGCCGGCCUGGGAGGGUGACAGGCCACGUUGGGCCUGAGAUGCGGCCCAGACUCCUACGGGAGGCAGCAGUGCGGAAUAUUGCACAAGGGGCGGAAGCCUGAUGCAGCAACGCCGCGUGCGGGAUGACGGCCUUCGGGUUGUAAACCGCUUUCGCCUGUGACGAAGCGUGAGUGACGGUAAUGGGUAAAGAAGCACCGGCUAACUACGUG